CGUACUUCUUUACAUCGCCAUACUGGUAUUUCAAAGAGCUAUGGAAUGUAAAGAAGUAUGUA
rnacentral:pre_miRNA from 1 species